rnacentral:lncRNA from 1 species
GUUGGGCCAGUCACUGAGUGGCCUUUUCUUCAAUCUCUGUUCCACUUUGUCUUUUCAUUUUCUUUAGACAGGAACAAUUCUGGGUCAAAAAUUGUAAAGAUGGGUGGGUGUCCCCAUCCCUCCACUGGGAUCCCUGUCUAUCUACUGGAGGUGGUGUCUUUAGGUUCCAUAUCCCCACUGCUGGGCAUUUCAAGUAAGGUUACCCCCAUUGAGUCCUGGGAGCUUCUCACAUCUCAGAUCUCUGGGACUUUGAGUUUUUUUUCCUGAUUUUUAAAAAAUUUAUUUAUUUUGUAUAUGUGAGUAUAGUGUCGCUUUCUUCAGACACACCAUAAGAGGGCAUCAGAACCCAUUACAGAUGGUUGUGAGCCUCCAUGUGGUUGCUGGGAAUUGAACUCAGGACCUCUGGAAAGGCAGUCAGUGCCCUUAACUGCUGAGCUAUCUCUCCAGCCCUUUUUUUCUGAUUUUUAUUGAGGCUUGGUCUUAUUACGCUAUCUAAGAUAGCCUUGAAUAUGAAACCCACUAUAGCCAUGGCUGUUACACGGAGAAACCCUGUCUCAAAAAACAAAACAGAACAAAACAAAACAAACAAACAAAAAGAAAACCCCAGAACACAAAAAAACAAAUAAACAAAACAAACAACAACAAAACCCAAAACCAAACAAGCAAAAACCCAGAGAGCUAGCAUGUUGGUGUAUCCCUUUAAUUUCCAGUUCUAGGGAGGCAGAGGCAGAUGUACCUUUGGGUUCGAGGCCAGUGUGGUCUACAUAACAAGUUCCAGGCCAGCCAGAGCUACACAGUGUGACCUGUCUCAAAACGCAAAAGGGGAAAAAAAGCCCAGGAAGGAAAAGAGAAAGGUUCAAUCUCUUGACAGUCAGGUUUUACUGUUCUAUGAGGUGAUGAUGCUUUCACUGAAGCUCUGUAUCAGCUUCAAGAUGAGAGGGCUGCCAUUUGCUUGCCCACUGUGUUACCAGCUUCUACUCAAAUUCUUUUACCUUAUCCUUGGAACUGUUCUGAUUUAGGUAUUAGUAGCCUGUUUUUCAUUGUUUAAUUUUUAAUUGUUUCCUUUUUGACACAAGAUCUUACCAUAUGGUAGCCCAUGCUUACUAAAAUCUCACUAUUUAGCACAGGCUGUCCUUGAACUUGUGAUCCUCCUAGCUUAGCCUGAGAACUAGAAUGACAUGUGUUUAUCACCAUUUCCCAACUGCUUACAUAUUAAGUAGCCAAGGCAUAAAGAAGGAAAUGGGGUGAGAGCUGUGGCUCCAUUGGUAGAAUACUUAGCUACCUUGGGAGGUCCUAAGUUCUAGUACAAACACCACAAAUACCACGUAUGGUGGCACACACCUGUAAAGCCAACACUCAGGAGUUGGAUGCAGGAAGAUGAGGAACAGAAGACAGAGAGCACAAGGGCCAACCUGGGCUACAUGAGGCGCUCAAAAAACAGAAGGAAAAGGAAGAAAAGAUAGUGUACCCAAAGUCAUUUAUAAUCUCUCUCUCUCUCUCACAUUUACAAUCUCUCUCUCUCUCUCUCUCUCUCUCUCUCUCUCUCUCACACACACACACACACACACACACACACACACACACACAAGAGAUACAAGAAAGAAAUGGGUUACAAGGUUGCUUGAGGUGACAUGGCUAAUAAUUAAAACCUCAGACAUCUCUAAGGGCUGUCUUAAUGGCCUCUGAGAACAUGCAAAGUCUAAGAUCCUUCCAGGAUCUUUGAAGAAGAGCACCCCCCAGCCUCCUAGUCUGCCCCUUUGUCCAGUCUAACUGGGGUCCAGGAGCCUCUUGAUCAGUGAUAUCACACACCAACAUGAGCCUCUUCUAAGCCACUCUAACCACCCUACUGAUGGCCUGACCCUUGACCUCAGUGGGACUGCAGCCAUCACACCCCUGCUGCCUCUAAAUCAAGACACUCUCCCAGCUGUACUUGACUUCACACUCCCUGGCAGCAGCCACUCGUAACAGUGUUAAUGCCUCAGGGACUCCCUCAUCCACUGUCCUUUCUUUUUCUUUCUGUUCCCAAAGUCCCAGGUCACUGCUAGAGGGAGAACCAGGAAGACAAAUAUAAAUCCGUGCUGUCCAGUUUCAAGUUGGCCCUUGCAGCUGCUCAGCAACCCUUUAUUUGUCCCCUGCAUUCCCUGGCACUCUCUCCCGCAGGGCUGUUCAGACCAUUCGUUGUCUUCUGAAACUACAAAUUCCUGUGUCGCUCCUACUUCAAAAGACUCCAUGCUGGAUACUCUGAUCAGAUUAGCUGUUCCAUCUGCAACAAAUUAGUAUUAUCUGUCUGCCUUCCAGCCCUUCCCCUUACCUAUCCAAUUCCCUUCCUGGAAAAGCGAUCAACAUUCUUUUUUCUCAUUUAUUCAUCCCUAGAUAUUUCAUGACCCUACUGGUAAAAAUACGGAAACAAGAGAAUGUACAUUGGUCGUUUGACAUAAGAGAGAAAGGUAUUCCACCAGAGGACUCAUCCUGGCCAAAGGCACAGAGAGAACUAAGAUAUAUUUAGAAAACAGGAGUAGUGAAUAGAGCAAUAAUCCCAGCUGCUGCCUCAACUGCUGCUUCUCCUUUUCCAGAUCUGACUUCAGCCUGAGUGUCCCUUGCCUGGACUGGUCCACAUACCAGCUGUGAGGAAAUUGGAUCCUCCGAGGCCCCUUGUGCAUCCUACCUUCCCUGGACCUCUGUUACUAUUUAUUGAGCUUUGACCCCCCAACCAUCUGUUUCAGUCCUGGGGUCAGCAGUGACUGCAGAGAUUAGUCCAAGUACUGAGAGGAAGUGACUGCGGAGUGAUUGGUCAUCAAUGCUACAUCUUGUAUCAGGGAGGACAGGAGCAGACAGUGGGAAGAAUGGGGAGACGGAGGGAAGAUGAAGGAAUGCUCACUGGUGCCCAGACACGUCAUGGCUGUUACACUCUGAGAUGACCUCCACAAGGUACACACUGAAAUCUUUAAAUUUGGAAUGGUAUACUGUCUGGAAUUCUCUCCAAAAUGAUAUAGGAGGAAAGAGAUGAAUGAAAAGAUACUUGAAAUAAGAUUGGCCAGAAAUUGGUAUUUCUUCCGAGUGCAUGGUAAAUGAUUCUUUAUGCUAUUCUGCCUACUUUUGUCCAUGCUGGAAAUUCUUCACACACAAAAAAAGUUUUAUAACAACGUUGUGGAAUUCUAAGCAUCUGAUGAAAGUCUCUGUAUUAGUCUAAAAGAGUAGACCAGAAGGAGGGGAAUUAAGAUGAGGGCUGUCUGAACAGCUCUGCGGGAGAGAGAGUGCCAGGGAAUGCAGGGGACAAAUAAAGGGUUGCUGAGCAGCUGCAAGGGCCAACUUGAAACUGGACAGCACGGAUUUAUAUUUGUCUUCCUGGUUCUCCCUCUAGCAGUGACCUGGGACUUUGGG